UUUUUUCUCGCGCAAAAGUUAAUAUUCAAUUUGUUUCGAUGGUACCAAUUCAAUAUUUAACACUAAUGAAUGGGGAAACUUUGGAUUCAGACUAUUUUUUCAUUCUAAUCAUCUGUAUGACCCGAUUUUUUUUCAAUCAAAUUGUGGAAAAAUGCAUCCCCCCUUUUUUUUAAAAGUCAAAUGGUCGUUCCCUUACUGCUACAAAAGUUGUUCGAAAAUUUGAGUUCGGUUCUACGUAAUGAACAUUUAAAUGACAUAUAGUUUACAAGUGUGAACACAUCUUAUGUACAGGUAACUAAACAAGGUGUAUAGAUGUGGACAAAUCUUAUGUGAAACUAGUGUAGAUUACACUAAACCAAAUGUAAACAUGUUUACUGUACACGGCGUUUGGUGUGAACACGGCC
rnacentral:lncRNA from 1 species